AAUAUUGCACAAUGGGGGAAACCCUGAUGCAGCGACGCCGCGUGAGUGAAGAAGGAUUUCGGACCGUAAAACUCUGCCCUUCGGGAAGAUAAUGACGGUAGCCAAGGAGGAAGCCCCGGCUAACUACGUGCCCGCAGCCGCGGUAAGACGUAGGGGGCGACCGUUGUCCGGAUUUACUGGGCGUAAAGGGUGAGUAGGCGGUUAUUUGUGUCAGGUGUAAAAGGCGUGGGCUUAACCUAGGUUAGCAUUUGAAUAUUUAUAGCUUGAGUGCAGGAGAGGUAAGUGGAAUUCCUAAUGUAGCGGUGAAAUGCGUAAAUAUUAGGGGGAACACCAGUGGCGAAGGCGACUUACUGGACUGUAUCUUACGGUGAGUCACGAAAGCGUGGGUAGCAAACA
rnacentral:rRNA from 1 species